GAAACGCAUCCAGUCUGUUUUGGCAUCUGAGUGGCGCGUAGCCGUUGUCAGAUGCCAGAGAGACUGAAAUGUUUC
rnacentral:pre_miRNA from 1 species